GACGAACGCUGGCGGCGUGCCUAAUACAUGCAAGUAGAACGCUGAAGAGAGGAGCUUGCUCUUCUUGGAUGAGUUGCGAACGGGUGAGUAACGCGUAGGUAACCUGCCUUGUAGCGGGGGAUAACUAUUGGAAACGAUAGCUAAUACCGCAUAACAAUGGAUGACACAUGUCAUUUAUUUGAAAGGGGCAUUUGCUCCACUACAAGAUGGACCUGCGUUGUAUUAGCUAGUAGGUGAGGUAAUGGCUCACCUAGGCGACGAUACCUAGCCGACCUGAGAGGGUGAUCGGCCACACUGGGACUGAGACACGGCCCAGACUCCUACGGGAGGCAGCAGUAGGGAAUCUUCGGCAAUGGGGGCAACCCUGACCGAGCAACGCCGCGUGAGUGAAGAAGGUUUUCGGAUCGUAAAGCUCUGUUGUAAGUCAAGAACGGGUGUGAGAGUGGAAAGUUCACACUGUGACGGUAGCUUACCAGAAAGGGACGGCUAACUACGUG
rnacentral:rRNA from 1 species